UUCGGUCAGGCUAAACAAACUUCAUUUAUGAUUCCUAUUGAAGAUCUUUGUGUUUACUACUAAGCAUGUUUAAUCACUUGCCUAAAUAUUUUGGAAAGCAUAGCAAGAAUGGAAAUGUAUUCAGUAGUAAGACCUAAUUUAGUUGUGUUGGUUUACAGUUUCCACUUUCCAGGAUAAACUUUUGUGUGAACUUUGGCCCACCUUGGUCUAGUUGCAUUGCAUACGGUAAAGGGAACUCAUCUACCUAAGCUUGACCAGCUUAAAAUUGCAAGAAAAAGCUUGUUAAUCCGGAACAUGAUAGUGAAUUAGAUUCAAGUCAGGUUUCAUUACUGUACCACUCUUUGCCAUGGAAUGAUUAACCAUGGUGCCAUGUUCUAAUCUUUGAUGUAAACAAGUUAACCAGAGACCCAUUUCAUGGGUUGUUUCCCUUGCACAUGCGCCAUUUCCCAAAUGGCUGCAAGUCUCGUGUCUGCAUCAUGCCACCCAAUCUGGUGCUCUGAUCAGAUCAUUGAUUCCUUUCAA